AGCAGCCGCGGUAAUUCCAGCUCCAAUAGCGUAUAUUAAAGUUGUUGCAGUUAAAAAGCUCGUAGUUGAAUUUCGGGGUUAGUAAGUUGGUCAUGCCUUUGGUAUGCACUGGCUUUACUGAUUCCUCCUUCUUGACGAACCGUGAUGUCAUUAAUUUGGUGUUGCGGGAAAUCAGGACUGUUACUUUGAAAAAUUAGAGUGUUUAAAGCAGGCUAACGCUUGAAUACAUUAGCAUGGAAUAAUGAAAUAGGACGUUAAUCCUAUUUUGUUGGUUUCUAGGAUCGACGUAAUGAUUAAUAGGGAUAGUUGGGGGCAUUAGUAUUCAAUUGUCAGAGGUGAAAUUCUUGGAUUUAUUGAAGACUAACUACCGCGAAAGCAUUUGCCAAGGAUGUUUUCAUUAAUCAAGAACGAAAGUUAGGGGAUCGAAGACGAUCAGAUACCGUCGUAGUC
rnacentral:rRNA from 1 species